CUUUUGUUUCACCCCUGUCUUGCCCCUAAUCAGCCUAGUUUGUGCAAAGUCUGAAAUGGACAGCAUCCAAGAUGCUGAGGGACUCUGAGGGAUGACACUAUCUCCACUGUCCCUGUCCACCUAGACCUUUGGGGCUGGCUCAUUCACUGCGGGGUGAGGAUGGCUCCUGACCAUGCCUUGUCUAGUUUGCUCCUGAGGGCUAGGCACUCUUUCCUCAAUAGGCACUCUCUUGCUCCUCUUGCAGAUCUGGAUCCUGGUGUUGGGAGCCGUGUUUGGUUUCUCUUCUUAUGGUCCCAUUGCCUUGUUUGGAGUCAUAGCUAAUGAGAGUGCACCUCCCAACUUGUGUGGUACCUCUCAUGCUAUUGUGGGGCUCAUGGCCAAUGUGGGUGGAUUUCUGGCUGGGUUACCCUUCAGUACCAUCGCCAAGCACUAUAGCUGGAGCACAGCCUUCUGGGUGGCAGAAGUGAUCUGUAUAGCCAGCACAGUUGUCUUCUUCUUGCUUCGAAAUAUCCGCACCAAGAUGGGCCGAGUAUCCAAGAAGGCAGAGUGAAAAGAGCACUCACUAUAGAGCAUCCCCAACUGCAACCUCAUUGGCAGGACACAGAAAGGAAGAGAGGCUGCUCUGGCUAGAACAGAGCCUUUACAUAUCUGUGUCUACACUGUCUCUCUGGACCUCCGUGGUGCUGCAAGUUACCAGUGGCUAAUGAGGUCCUAUGCUCUAUUUAAAUGAUGUUUGGUUUUAGGCUCCAUUGGCUUCUGUUUCUACCUUCUAGCAGACAGACAACUCCUAAAUUCAGGGUGUCUCCUAUACCCCUCUUCCUCUCCUGAGUCCCCAUCUCCUAGUGAGGUGGUUCUAUCUCUGCAGCUGCAGAAUAUUAAUGGCCUGUGGUUUCUGCUGUACCCCAAGGCUUCUUGUUAGGGGUCAACACUGUUGCCAAUACCUCAGUCCCUAAGGGAGGAGAGGAGGCCACCACUCUCAUCAGUACCCUGGGACAAAAGGGAGGAAUGUAGAGAGCAAACUGUCUUGUAUAGACUAAUAAAACUAGAUUUGAUACU
rnacentral:lncRNA from 1 species